GCUGUUGCUAUGGGCCUUAUAUGUCACAUGAACCCGAAAAAGUCCUCAUAUAUACUAUUAAAAUCAGGUCUGAACAAAAUAUAGCCCUAGACAAAAUCUCAACAGAUGGAUGUAUUCCUAGAAUCAUGGGACCAAACUAUUCUGAUUCCCAGGUCUCUUGGACCUUGGGAAAGGCAUGUCCCAAUAUGUCACAUUUUUGUCAUAAGUCCUGAUAUUGUCUAUAAACACGUAUGUGUGUGUGUGUGUGUGUGUGUUUAUGUGUGUGUGUGUGUGU